GCCCUCGUAGCUCAGGGGAUAGAGCACAGCCCUCCGAAGGCUGGGGUCGCACGUUCAAAUCGUGCCGAGGGCA
rnacentral:tRNA from 1 species